UAAAUGAUGAAAAAAAUUGGUCCGUGUUUAUGAAUUUAUUUGAUUUUAACCUCAACCACAUCUGAUCUUU